AUGACAAGAAGAUAUUGGAACAUUAAUUCGAAAGAGAUGAUAGAAGCAGGAGUUCAUUUUGGUCAUGGUAUUAAGAAAUGGAAUCCUAAAAUGGCCCCUUACAUUUCGGCAAAGCGUAAAGGUACUCAUAUUAUAAAUCUCGCUAGAACGGCUCGUUUUUUAUCAGAAGCUUGUGAUUUAGUUUUUGAUGCAGCAAGUCAGGGAAAAAGUUUCUUAAUUGUUGGUACCAAAAAAAGAGCAACAGAUUUAGUAGCAUCAGCUGCAAUAAGGGCUCGUUGUCAUUAUGUUAAUAAAAAGUGGUUCAGUGGUAUGUUAACGAAUUGGUCGAUUACGAAAACUAGACUUUCUCAAUUUAGAGACUUAAGAGCAGAAGAAAAAAUGGGAAAAUUCCACCAUCUCACAAAAAGAGAUGUGGCAAUCUUGAAGAGAAAAUUAUCUACCUUGCAAAGGUAUCUCGGCGGGAUCAAAUAUAUGACGAGAUUGCCAGACAUUGUGAUCGUCCUUGAUCAGCAAAAAGAGUAUAUAGCUCUUCGGGAAUGUGCCAUUUUGGGGAUUCCUACUAUUUCUUUAGUCGAUACAAAUUGUGACCCGGAUCUCGCGAAUAUAUCGAUUCCAGCCAACGAUGACACUAUGACUUCAAUUCGAUUGAUUCUUAACAAAUUAGUAUUUUCAAUUUGUGAGGGCCGUUCUCUCUAUAUAAGAAAUCGUUGA
rnacentral:rRNA from 1 species